rnacentral:snRNA from 1 species
GUGCUCACUUCAGCAGCACAUUUACUCAAAUUGGAAGGAUUCAGAGAUCAGCAUGGCCCCUGUGCAAGGACUAUACACAAUUUUUUUUUUUUUAAGAUUUU